AUGAAAGAUGGAAUUUUGAUUUUUUUUCAAAACUGUUGCAUACAGUUGAAAAGUUGCUAUUGCAUUACAUGGAUGAUUUGGUUGAAUUCAUAUAGACAGUUACAUUUACACAUCAUAAGAGAUGCAGCAAGUUGUUCUUGCGGUGUAGCCAUAUAUUUGUGUGCACAUAGUUGUAUAUGUUUUGCUCGUCAUGCUUAGUUAAGGAUGAUACUGAUAUUGCCACUUUCCAUGACAUUGAUGACUGGUGUAGUAGCACUCUUCAUGGUUAGCUGCACUUCUGCUUAACUUCAAAUCAAAUGCAGAGAGUUAUUAGUAGGUGCAAAAUAUUGAAGAUAGUCCUGCGGCAACAGAAAGUUGGCAAGAGAUUGUUGAAAAUUUUCUAUGGCAAACAAUGUCACAACCGUUGCCAAAAUAUGGAAUAGUGUAUUUUGCAUUUGCUUUCAUACCUUUCUUGUUGGCGCUAUUUCUGCAUUUUGCUUUUUGAUAUGACAUAUGUCUUGUGAAGGUUUGCUUGCUUGUAAGCCACAUGUCAGGGUCUUAUAUAUUCAUUAUUUUCAUCCCAAAAGCUAGUUCUCAGUGUCGUUAAGUGUGUGAGAAAUUUGUUUCAUGACUU